UACGUAGGGGGCGAGCGUUGUCCGGAUUUAUUGGGCGUAAAGAGCGUGUAGGCGGCCAGGUAGGUCCGUUGUGAAAACUCGAGGCUCAACCUCGAGACGUCGAUGGAAACCAUCUGGCUAGAGUCCGGAAGAGGAGAGUGGAAUUCCUGGUGUAGCGGUGAAAUGCGCAGAUAUCAGGAAGAACACCUAUGGCGAAGGCAGCUCUCUGGGACGGUACUGACGCUGAGACGCGAAAGUGCGGGGAUCAAACAGG
rnacentral:rRNA from 1 species